rnacentral:rRNA from 1 species
GAUGAACGCUGGCGGCGUGCUUAACACAUGCAAGUCGAACGAGAAGUGGAGACGGAAACCUUCGGGCGGAAGACUUUAUUUCGAGUGGCGGACGGGUGAGUAACGCGUGGGUAACCUGCCUCAUACAGGGGGAUAACAGUUUGAAACGACUGUUAAUACCGCAUAAGACCACAGCACCGCAUGGUGCGGGGGUAAAAACUCCGGUGGUAUGAGAUGGACCCGCGUUCGAUUAGCCAGUUGGCGGGGUAACGGCCCACCAAAGCGACGAUCGAUAGCCGAGCUGAGAGGAUGACCGGACACAUUGGGACUGAGACACAGCCGAAACUCCUACGGGAGGCAGCAGUGGGGAAUAGUGCACAAUGGGGGAAACCCUGAUGCAGCGACGCCGGGUGAGUGAAGAAGUAUGUCGGUAUGUAAAGCUCUAUCAGCAGGGAAGAAAAUGACGGUACCUGAGUAAGAAGCCCCGGCUAACUACGUG